rnacentral:tRNA from 1 species
GCCCUCGUAGCUCAAUGGUAGAGCGCGUCACUAGUAAUGACGAGGUUGCCGGGUAUGUUCAACAUCAUUCGAUGAUA